rnacentral:rRNA from 1 species
GUGACAUUGUUCAACGGCCGCGGUAUCCUAACCGUGCGAAGGUAGCGUAAUCACUUGUCCUUUAAAUGAAGACUAGUAUGAAUGGCCCCACGAAAGCUAUACUGUCUCCUUUUUCUAAUCAGUUAAACUAAUCUCCCCGUGAAGAAGCGGGGAUAAACAUAUAAGACGAGAAGACCCUAUGGAGCUUCAAACAACUGAAACACUUGUAUAUCCUCCCUCACCUGCCAACAUUUAACCUCACAUUUUGUUUCUAGUUUUAGGUUGGGGUGACCACGGAGAAAAAACUAACCUCCACGACGAAAGAGACAUCUCUAAACAAAAAGCUACAUCUUUAUGUAUUAACACAUUAACCUUUAUUGACCCA